AGCAAAACUCUCAAAUAUCAUCCUGGGUGACGAUGUAGAUUAGACCCAUCAGAUGAAAUGAAGAAUUGAAAAACUCUCCUGGGGAUGAAAAUGGUUAGCUGCUGAGGACCUUUUUGAGUGGAAGUGGAGUUUGAGACCUGGGUGCCAGAGAUGACUUCAGGAAUUGUAAUUGAUGGAAAAAGGAAGAUCUUGACGCCUUUAAUAAAGAGAAAACUUUGAGAUCUGAUUGUGCAAAGAAAAUUUUCAUCAAAGGAGCAAGAAAUUCUUCAUAACUUCAACACAACAUGGCCUUUGGGAACAGAAUAAAACACAAAUAAGGAAAGGCGGAAAAUGAUUGACACAUGCACUGUUCUUGGUUUGAAAUUUAACAAUCAUGCUAGUUAUAGGAUACAGCUUUGAAAUUCGAGUCAAUGAGAGGAUGAAAAAUACUGAGGAAGAGUAGGUAAAUUGAAUUCUUGCUACAUGAACAAAAACACUGGAUCUGAAGGUAAGGUACAUUUUAUAUAAUGACCCUCGUCUUCUGACACUAUUUAUU